AGACAUCAAACCAGUUACGUUUUACCAUCUUCUGCAGAGUGAGGGAAGUGGAGUGGAGUCAGUAAGUGUUCAAAAUAACUUUGUGACUCUUCAACGGUGAUUCUUAAGAACGGGGAUAAAAUGUGUUUUACUGUCUUUGUUCAGACUAGAACAGUUUGUAAUGAGAACAUAGGGAGCAUUAGGCACGUGUGCUUUACAUGACGCUGUGUCGCUGGUAAACGUGCUUAUAUGUUUAUUUACCAACGCGCUACUCGGUCUGUUUAUAGGGGAGAGUGGGGUAAGAUGAGCCAGUUUUCAUAUUUCAGAUCACUACAUCAAGGCAAUCAUAGUUUUGUCUCUAACUAGUGUAUCUGCAUAUAUUUCAGGAUGUUGGUCAUCCCUGCAAACCAGCAGAAUGAGUGUAAACAUCACUGUCUUGAUAAUAAAGCAUGCCAAAAAAGUGGUCUCCAAUGGUCAACUUACCCCAUACACGGGGUAAGUUGACCUUAGGAGCGGGGUAAGUUGAGCCGUAUCCCUACAAACUCCCCACUCUCCACCCCAGCCCUCCCUCACCUUCUCUAUUAUACACUAUUCAACGGGUACAAUAAUUCUUUUUAUUAUUAUUGCAUAUAAUUGCUAAAAAGCUGUUUUGUAAAAAGUCAUUUUAACACGAGAAUGUCUUUAAGUGAUUCAGAACAUUCACAGCUAUAUUUUUGAAAAGAAAAAGUAAAACAUUUCAACAAUCUGAACUGAAACUCUGAUCCUCUCAUCAGACUUCUUUACUUUCUCAGUUACCCCUGAACGACGAUUAUGACUUUAUUAGUCCUCAAAGCUAAAAUGGUGGACUUUUAUGCUAGGUUUUUGACCUCAUGUUGUAGCUCAUAGAUACCACAAUUGAUGUAUAAAACAAAAUUAAAAUGAACUUUAUUGGUCUGAACACAAUUCUAAUCAAACUUAUGACAGACUAAAUUCCCUCUCAAGAUUGAAAAAUGUUUUUUUUUUUUUUUUUUAAAUAGACAUCUAACCCCUUCACUCAUGUGCUUCUAACCUUCACAGACUCCAUCUCAUAAAUAUUUGGUCACAUGAUCAAUUUCUUUUACCAUUUCCAAGCAACAUGGGGGGUCGACUUACCCUUUGGCUCAACUUACCCCACUCUCCCCUUCAGGCUGUAGUAUAUGUGUCAGGUUCUGUGUGGUAUUUCCUGACACAUUAAGUGGCAGACAAUCUGAAGUAACAGAAGAAAGUGAUUAUUUUGAACAUGCCAUGUAGUACAGUGGAUAGACGCAACUGAUCAAAAAUAACAUGUAUUUUGCAGCAUGAUAUCAAUUUCUUACACAUUGGAUAAUGUUAAAUGGGAUAUAGAAAAUUUGAUUAAGGAUACUCAGAUGUGAAUCCCGUGUUAAGAAUUGGUAUUCAUUGUCAGUGUUUACACGGAUAUAAAAUGUUCUAACAAGAUGAAACUGAAAAACAUUAAUUUCAUGCCUGUCUAUGAAGUAAAAGCCAAAUGCUUUUAACCCCUUGUGCUGACAUGAUAUAUUUUCUGCUGAGAGAUUUAAUAUUCUAAAAGCCAACAUCCUCUUUUUAUCUUUCAUACCUGUAAAAUUCAAUAUUACUUUUAAACACAUAUUUGCUUUUUGUCAGGGUCUCUAAGUUAUUUGUUUUUGUUCAAGAGGUGCCGACAAGGAGACUGAACAUGGCAACACCUGUGUCUGUGCUGCGCCUGCCAAAAGGACCAGACCCCAACAGCCGUGGGUUUGACCCCAAAUCGCCUCGCUACAUAGCCCUGUGUCGUACCUCCAUCCCAGCUUCUGCUGCGUCUGAGGGCAACAUAGAGCAGCUGACAGAAGAGCAGCACGCGCGAUCUGUACUGAGGGAGAGUUUCCUCCGAUGUCUCCUGUGGAUGGCCAACAAGAAGGUUCAGUUCAACAUGUAUGAGAAGGUGAAGGUGAAGGCCACGUUUGGAGCGUCGGAUAUUGAUGUACUGAACUUCCAGGUGUCAGAACUCCACACUCCGAUUGGGGUGCAAAAAGAGGCGCUGAUCAGGUGUCAAGAUGUGAUCUCAUUCAUAGUUGAAUGAUGUUCAUUAUGUCUUUUUUUUGUUUGUUUGUUUGUUUUUCUUUUAUCUCAGACCUGUAAUCUUUUUCACGUACCUUGACAUGUUUUGGCUGAAAAUUCAGUAACUGUGACCCUCCUAACAAGGACAAGACGGUUACGCCUCCAGUGGUCGACAUGAACAUCCUGUCACGUCCUGUCUUCUCAGGAAGGCAUAACGCAACAUGUCAAGGUACGUGAAAAAGAUUACAUGUCUGAGAUAAAAGAGAAAGAAGAAACUAUGUGAUCUCAUUCAUUUUUGAUGUAUGAACAUGAAUGUAUGAUCUGUGUUUGUGCACAUCCUUGCAGUUAAUUUAUUUGGUAAAAGUGUGGGUGAACAGUGAGAACAUGCUUCCUUUAAUUCUUGUAUUAUUGCUCAGUCUGCCACAUUUCUCAGUUCAAGGAGCUUUCAAGCUCAAACGUGCAGGUCCAAUACUCUGCCACAAGAGGGCGCUCCAUGUCCGUUUCAAGAGAGAAACCAAAGCCUUUUGAGGAAUCUUUCUGAAAAGGAUGUUGUAGACGAGUUUUCACCACUUUAUUACUACUGCAGAGAUGUCUUGCUGAUGUUAAUUGCUGACAUGAGUGUCAACAUUUAUUUGGGGAUGAAGAGGUAUUUUCUCUCUUAAAGGUAGAACACUGAAUGAUCUUUAAGAUGGUGUCAGUCAUGAAAUUUGACUGCACUAAAUAUGUCGCGAUAAAAUGCUUUUCACAUCACCAUUUAACAUCCAACCCCUCACAUAUAUCUCCCAUUUCUGCUCUUCAACAUGAGACUUCAGUGAAUCACAGGCCCUGUGUUCUUCCUCUGUAAACUUUAAAGAAAAUAUCACUGUGCUGGUGUGCCACUUGUAUGUUUAAAGCCUUUAUAUGGUGUCAAAGUGCAACUUUUCUCAUUUUUCUACUCUUGUACUACAGUAUCUUUUUGAAUACCAGGACCUUGUUACAAAUAAAUUUGUGUUUUGCAGAAUAUAAAAACCCCAUGGGAUUUACUUAAACUGCAAAUGUUUAAUCUUUUACAAACAAUGUAAACAGAGAAAUAUCAGAGUUUACACUUUCCCCACAUUCGCU